rnacentral:rRNA from 1 species
UACCAGCACCCCGAGUGGUCGGGACGUUUAUUGGGCCUAAAGCAUCCGUAGCCGGAUCUACAAGUCUUCCGUUAAAUCCACCUGCUUAACAGAUGGGCUGCGGAAGAUACUAUGGAGCUAGGAGGCGGGAGAGGCAAGCGGUACUCGAUGGGUAGGGGUAAAAUCCGUUGAUCCAUUGAAGACCACCAGUGGCGAAGGCGGCUUGCCAGAACGCGCUCGACGGUGAGGGAUGAAAGCUGGGGGAGCAAACCGG